UUGUCAUUAUACUCUAUCAUGAAAGAGCUUUUAACAGUGUCUUCAAAACUCUUUCUUCUGUUCCAACAGAACUAAGGCGUAUCCUUUCAGUUCUCCUUUUCAACACUGAAGAAUACUCUAUGCUCCAGUAUUUUCUCAUCUGUCUGUACAAUUUAAGUAGACGGACACUAGAUUAGUCUCACCAGUUAUUAGUGAUUCCAAGGAGAUCAUCUCAGCUUACGUGGAUGUGUCUAACCAGAAAAUGAUGUUCCUUCUGAUUUUGGUCCUUAACCAUCCUAAGCUGUUAAGUGUCGUGGGAGCGAGAAGGAAACACGAAGGGUAAAACGUCAUGUUCAAAGCAAGAUUCGCCAAAAACACCAGAUCCAAAGGUACAUCUUGUUACCAGUCAGGUGCAUACUCUUGAUCGUAGCCCGAGGUUCCGCGGUGAGCUGAUCCAUUCCUAUGCCGUUCAGCAGCACGAUGGAGUCUCUCUUUACUUUUGGCUGUCUAUUCUAUUUCAGACAUUAGGAUAG